rnacentral:rRNA from 1 species
UAACCUGCCCAAGAGAUCGGGAUAACACCUGGAAACAGAUGCUAAUACCGGAUAACAACAGAUGAUGCCUAUCAACUGUUUAAAAGAUGGUUCUGCUAUCACUCUUGGAUGGACCUGCGGUGCAUUAGCUAGUUGGUAGGGUAACGGCCUACCAAGGCGAUGAUGCAUAGCCGAGUUGAGAGACUGAUCGGCCACAUUGGGACUGAGACACGGCCCAAACUCCUACGGGAGGCAGCACCG